rnacentral:rRNA from 1 species
GACGAACGCUGGCGGCGUGCUUAACACAUGCAAGUCGAACGGAAAGGCCCUGCUUUUGUGGGGUGCUCGAGUGGCGAACGGGUGAGUAACACGUGAGUAACCUGCCCUUGACUUUGGGAUAACUUCAGGAAACUGGGGCUAAUACCGGAUAGGAGCUCCUGCUGCAUGGUGGGGGUUGGAAAGUUUCGGCGGUUGGGGAUGGACUCGCGGCUUAUCAGCUUGUUGGUGGGGUAGUGGCUUACCAAGGCUUUGACGGGUAGCCGGCCUGAGAGGGUGACCGGCCACAUGGGGACUGAGAUACGGCCCAGACUCCUACGGGGGGCAGCGGGGGGGAAAAUUGCACAAGGGGCGGAAGCCGGAUGCAGCACCGCCGGGUGCGGGAUGACGGCCUUCGGGUUGUAAACCGCUUUCCCCUGGGACGAAGCGUGGGUGACGGUAAUGGGUAAAGAAGCACCGGCUAACUACGU